GACGAACGCUGGCGGCGUGCUUAACACAUGCAAGUCGAACGGAAAGGCCCUGCUUUUGUGGGGUGCUCGAGUGGCGAACGGGUGAGUAACACGUGAGUAACCUGCCCUUGACUUUGGGAUAACUUCAUGAAACUGGGGCUAAUACCGGAUAGGAGCUCCUGCUGCAUGGUGGGGGUUGGAAAGUUUCGGCGGUUGGGGAUGGACUCGCGGCUUAUCAGCUUGUUGGUGGGGUAGUGGCUUACCAAGGCUUGGACGGGUAGCCGGCCUGCGAGGGUGACCGGCCACAUUGGGACUGAGAUACGGCCCAGACUCCUACGGGAGGCAGCAGUGGGGAAUAUUGCACAAUGGGCGGAAGCCUGAUGCAGCAACGCCGCGUGCGGGAUGACGGCCUUCGGGUUGUAAACCGCUUUCGCCUGUGACGAAGCGUGAGUGACGGUAAUGGGUAAAGAAGCACCGGCUAACUACGUG
rnacentral:rRNA from 1 species